rnacentral:lncRNA from 1 species
GGGGUUUCUCUGGGCAGGCGAGUGGUAAAAAUUCCUUUAUCUGCAUCAUAGGACCCUUGCUCGCUUCCGUAUCCAUAUUCUACAAUUCUUCCAGGAGGGGUUAAUCUGAGAAAGUACGGCUUGGCAUAGUAGUCUAGGCCGACCCCUCGAAGUAGACGUUGAACUCGGAGGCCGGGGCAUAGGGCACGCGGAUGGCGAUGGUCAGGAAAUCCGGCUCCUGGCUGAGGCUGAACGCCGGGGUCAGCAUCGCGGCACCAGACGCAGGGGCCAGCGCGGCUCGCCCUCGCUGCCGCGGCGGUCCCACCAAGCAACUCUCUCCAAUUUUACCUUUUUAAAAUAAAAGAUGUCUGGGCCAGGCGCAGUGGCUCACGCUUGUAAUCCCAGCACUUUGGGAAGCCGAGGCGGGUGGAUCCUGACCUGAGGUCAGGAGUUCAAGAUCAGCCCCGCCGACAUGACGAAACUCCGUCUCUACUAAAAAUACAAACAUCAGCCGGACGUGGUGGUGGGCGCCUGUAAUCCCCACUACUCGGGAGGCUGAGGCAGGAGAAUCACUUGAACCCGGGAGGCAGAGGUUGCAAUGAGCCGAGAUCAUGCCACUGUACUCCAGCCUGGGUGACAGAGUGAGACUCUGUCUCAAAAAAAAAAAAAAAAAAAAAAAAAAAAGUCUGUCUUCCAGGACACAGAAGCCUCCUAUACACACAUUUUGGCACUUGAUUAUGUUAUGUCUUUUACAGUUCUCUGCAUGUUUCUUGCAGAAAGUCCUGCUGUCCUCCACCUGGCUACCUCUUGGCUUUAGGAGACACAUGUCUUCUCUCCCCACUGACUGAGAAUGUCAGACUCCUGCCGGCCAGCUGCAUGCUUUCCAGGAGCACCAACAAGGAAAUUCCCUGACAGGUAAAAUCUUUAAAAAUGACACUUUUACCUUCCUGACUUUGGGGGCCAAAUGCCUAAGAGGGAAAGGAAACAGUCUAACCAGAGUCCAGGAAAAUUAAUUGAAUCCCAUGGGGUAGACAUAAAACCCCUGUGGGAAUAUUACAGGUUCAAUAACCUAAUGGCUUAGUAUUUUGCUACUUUAAAAUGCAGAGAUAACAGAAACAAUCUGAAUAUUCUUCAUAUAGCUGGUAAGGACUUCAGUUCCAGUGGCCAUAUGACAUAAUUUUGCCUGUACCCAGAGGCAUUUUUAAAAAUAUAACAUCAGAUUUUAAGGAAUGUAAAGUUGCUAAUCUAACUUGUAAAUUUGCUUGUGUCAUUUACAGAUUAUUUCUGUUGAAACUGCAAACCUGAAUUACUGAAAUCUAGAAAGGCACAGGGACUUACUCUGUCACACACAGCUACUCAUGCACACACACACUGCUUACUAAAAGCUGAGGUGAGAGGAAGGGGGCCUACAUGAAUAACAAGUUCAACUUCUUUGUGCCUGGAAAGAAGGGACUAGCGCAGCCAGGAGACUCACUUUACCUCAUCGCUUGGGCCCUUCUCUAUGCCUUAGUCUCUCCAGCACAUGCACACAGCAUGCACACACAGGCGCCCUACCCAAAGACAGCUGUGGCCUUCUCUCCACCUGGCCGCUGGUUGUUGGGGGUGAGGGGUCCCAUGAAAUUUGUUCUGGUUUCUACGAUGUAAACAAGAAGACUCUAAGCCCUGAAUUGCCCUGCUUUCUAGAGGGUGAAAUGUUGACCCUGCAACUUUAGAAGCACAAUUAUUAAUAACUCUUUUGAAAUUCCCAUCUACCCAUGUCAGAGAAGUUCAACAAGUUCUAGGAAUUAAAUAUGUCUGUUUGUAACCUAGAGCAUGCUCAAUUUUUGGAAGCCAUAUUUCAGUGAUGAUUUUCUUAACACCUUUCUCGUGUAGGGCUUCUUCCCUGAAAAUCUUACAGUCCCUUUCUGUGAAGAGAAAUGGACACAUCCUGGGAACUAUUCCUGUGCCUCUGGACUGUCAUCAGGAAAUGACUGCAGGUCCUGUGCCCUGUCUAUAUUAUGUCCUCACUUCUCCAUCCAUACAG